GCGUGAGUGAUGAAGGCCUUAGGGUUGUAAAGCUCUUUCGCCAGGGACGAUAAUGACGGUACCUGGAUAAGAAGCCCCGGCUAACUUCGUGCCAGCAGCCGCGGUAAUACGAAGGGGGCUAGCGUUGUUCGGAAUUACUGGGCGUAAAGCGUAUGCAGGCGGACUUUUAAGUCGGGGGUGAAAUCCCGAGGCUCAACCUCGGAACUGCCUUCGAUACUGGAAGUCUUGAGUCCGGGAGAGGUGAGUGGAACUCCGAGUGUAGAGGUGAAAUUCGU
rnacentral:rRNA from 1 species